AAGUCGAACGGUAACAGGUCUUCGGAUGCUGACGAGUGGCGAACGGGUGAGUAAUACAUCGGAACGUGCCUAGUAGUGGGGGAUAACUACUCGAAAGAGUAGCUAAUACCGCAUGAGAUCUACGGAUGAAAGCAGGGGACCUUCGGGCCUUGUGCUACUAGAGCGGCUGAUGGCAGAUUAGGUAGUUGGUGGGGUAAAGGCUUACCAAGCCUGCGAUCUGUAGCUGGUCUGAGAGGACGACCAGCCACACUGGGACUGAGACACGGCCCAGACUCCUACGGGAGGCAGCAGUGGGGAAUUUUGGACAAUGGGCGAAAGCCUGAUCCAGCAAUGCCGCGUGCAGGAUGAAGGCCCUCGGGUUGUAAACUGCUUUUGUACGGAACGAAAAGCCUGGGGCUAAUACCCCCGGGUCAUGACGGUACCGUAAGAAUAAGCACCGGCUAACUACGUGCCAGCAGCCGCGGUAAUACGUAGGGUGCAAGCGUUAAUCGGAAUUACUGGGCGUAAAGCGUGCGCAGGCGGUUUUGUAAGACAGUGGUGAAAUCCCCGGGCUCAACCUGGGAACUGCCAUUGUGACUGCAAGGCUAGAGUGCGGCAGAGGGGGAUGGAAUUCCGCGUGUAGCAGUGAAAUGCGUAGAUAUGCGGAGGACACCGAUGGCGAAGGCAAUCCCCUGGGCCUGCACUGACGCUCAUGC
rnacentral:rRNA from 1 species